rnacentral:rRNA from 1 species
GACGUAGGGCGCGAGCGUUGUCCGGAUUUAUUGGGCGUAAAGAGCUCGUAGGCGGUUUCGUAAGUCGGAUGUGAAAACUCCAGCUCAACUUGGAGACGCCAUUCGAUACUGCGAUGACUUGAGUCCGGUGAGGGGAGUGUGGAAUUCCUGGUGUAGCGGUGGAAAUGCGCAGAUAUCAGGAGGAACACCGGCGGCGGAAGGCGGCACUCUGGGCCGGUGACUGGCCGCUGAGGAGCGAAAGCGUGGGUAGCAAACAGG